GCCUUAUAAAGCCUGUUUUAUAAAAUCAGGCCCAACUUUGGAUCCAGUUUAUACUGUUGAAGGAAGCGAUGGUUUUGUCUUUUCUGUCAGACCACUGCCCCCUUCAUGCAACAUUAUGAGGUAAGAACUGUGCUUCCUUCAACACUAAGUGAGCCGAAAUUCUGGUGCCAUAUAGCACUAAAUGUUCAGUGGUUUAUAAAUGCUUUGAAAUAAAACUGAGUCUUUUUCCCUCUCAGAAAACAGUUUAUUUUAUUUAAAAGCAUUUAUAAACCACUGAACAUUUAAAGAUCUCUAAGUGAUAAUACAGCAUCAAAAUGAUAAACAAUAGCAUGACAUCCAAAAUAUGACAUAGAAUCAGUUAAACAGAAGUAUAAAAACAUACAAACAAAUAAUAACAGGGAAAUCAAUAAUAAAAAACCAGGAUAGGUCAGGGCGCCAAAACAACAACAACAACAACAACAAAACAACAACACCCUGACUUUAAUGACCUUUAUUGGAUCUGUGAUGGCAUAAUAAGAUUGGUAUGGUUGGCAUUGUUUAUACUGACCAGCAUUUUAAUCAUACUCAUGGAGCUGUAGAGUUGGAAGGGACACAAAGGGUCAUGUAGUUCAACCCCCUGAAAUGCAGGAAUGCUUGACAGAUGGUCUCCAAUGAAGCAGUGUCUACCCCGGUCCAAGGAAGCUCGUUCCACUGUCAGAUAGCUAAAUAACUAGGAUGAUGUAGUUAGUCAUCUAUUUAACAAAUUUGUAUACUGCUUAUCUGUAAGUAAAACUUUUAAGUAUAAGUUCCUGUUUUUUUUUAAAUAAAAUAUACAUUAAACAUCUAUCCCCCCAAAACUAUAGUAAAAUACAAGUUUGAUUUUAUUUAAAAAUCAAAUUCAAAUCAGAAGAUAAAGCUAAAACUACAGAUUUGUCAACUUUUGGAAGGUUCGUACAAGCAAAAAAUGUUUUCAGCAGGUGCCAAAAGAACUCAAGCGAAGGUACCUGCCUGAUGUCAAUUGUCAGGGAGUUCCAGAGUGUUAGCGCUGCCGCGCUAAAAUAUCUCUCUUCCUUCUUCAUGCAACACAUAGUUAAUCAAUGGAACUCACUCCUACAAGAGACAGUGAUGGCCACCAGUCUAGAAGGCUUUAAAGAGGACUGGACAAAUUCAUAGAGAAGAAGGCAAUCAAUGGCUACUUGCCAAUAUGGCUGUGCUCUGCCUCCAUGGUCAGAGGCUGUAAUGCUGUUGCUGGAAACCACAGAAGGAGAGAGGACUCUUGCACCUGGUUCCUGCUUGUUGGUUUCCUAUUGGGGUGACUGGUUGGCCACUGUGAGAACAGGAUGCUGGACUAGAACCAUGGUGUGAUCCAACAACCUUUUCUUAAAAAUCCACAAAUGUACUGAUAUUUUUUUUAAAUGGCUGCAUGACAAUCAGUUGUGCAAAAAUGUAACCUCAAUGUUUCUUCUUUGGUGUAUAUUGUUUGGAAUAUUGCUCUUCUAGAAAAAUUAGCAUGGCGUGUAAGAGAUUUGCACCACUGCAUAGCAAUCACAAUCGGCUUUGCCGCCUGCUUCAUUGGAUGUUUUGGAUAUGUGUUUCUUAUUUUGCAAAUAUUUUGGGGACACAAUUAUUUAUCUGGGGUUGGUUGGCACCUGUGACAAAUACGAAUGCUGUGCAAUAUGGUUAUGACCUGUGUCAGUGUACCUGGCUGUUAACCAGAAGGUUGGUGGUUCAGAUCUUCUCCUGCUGGGACUUAUGGAUAUACAACUAGAAAAAGAAUAUGGAAUAUUACUGCAAUAUACGAUCACGGUGGCGAGAGUGUUAUAUGCACAAAGAUGGAAGGACUUAUUAUUACCUAAUAUGGAAGAAUGGUUAUUGAAAUUAAUGGAUUUGGCUGAGAUGGCAAAGCUGAUGUGGUUAAUAAUAGAAAAAUCAUUGUUGACAUUUAUUAAUGAUUAGAAACCCCUUAUGGACUUUUUGAGCAAUAAGGAAAAUAAGCUUGUGAUAUCUGGGUUCAAAGACCGGAAAAACGGCCAGUUUAUGGACAUUAGAAGAGCUGGGUAUUAUUAUGAGGUAAGAAUUUUGUUUUAAGUUUUUAAAGCUGAUAGAGAUGGCGAAUCAGAAGUUUUUUCUUUUUCUUUUCUCUUCUUUAUUUCGUUUCAAUAUUUAUGUUAAAAAAAGAUGCUUGAUAUUUGAUGUUGUUUUCUGUAUAUAUUUGUUUGUUUAUUUUCAAGCUUUAAUAAAAAUCACUUAAAUAGAAGGUUGUGCUUCAAGCCCACCCACAGACAGUUGUGGGCUGGAUUCCUGCCCUGCAGGGGGUUGGAUUAGAUGACCCUUCAGAUCCCUUCCAACUCUACAAUCCUAUGUUUCCAUGACCUCCACUCUUUUUGUUAUAUUCCUAGACUCAGUAAUGGUAUAGUGGUUAGAGUGUCAGACUAGGAUCUGGGAGAACAGGGUUAUAAUCCUCACUCAGCCAUGAAACUGGGUGACUUUGCGCCAGUUCCUCUCUCUUAGCCUAGCCUACCUCAAAGGGUUGUUGUGGGGAUUAAGUGGAUGAGAACCACAUAAGCCAAAUGUGAGCUCCAUAGAAAAAUAGGUGGGAUAGAAAUGCAGUAAAUAACACACACACACACACACACACACACACACACGUGUGUGUGUGUUUGUGUUUAUUUAUUUUACUUUGAGGAUAUUUAUCAUCUAUCUAUCUAUCUAUCUAUCUAUCUAUCUAUCUAUCUAUAUCUAUACCUAUUAAUCAAUCACUUUUCUUAAGUUUUGGCUUACUUGCAUAUCAAUAAAAAUUAUUUUGUAAUAAACAAACAAACAAAUGCAUUUUAAUGCACAUUUUACCAUACUAUAAGCAUUAUUGUGCACAUUGCUUGCAAAAUCAGGAGAUCUGUGAAUUGUAAAGGAUCCGUGUGUUGGUAGGUUCUCCUUUAAAUGUGAACUGAAUUGGGUUUUUCCUCCAUCCCCCCUCCUGCGUAAGCAUCCACAGGCUUGCAGCCUGACUCAAACAACAAGCCAACUUCGGAUUUCUUUAAUCGGGUGACAGCACCUCCUCUAAUCACAGUCCUUUAACAAUUAGCCCUGGCAUGGCCCUGGCAUGUAAUGGAGGUAGGGGCAAGAGGGCAAUGCAAAGAUGGCCAGGGGGCUCAUUUUCACCUGCCCCUAACAGAUGAUCAGUGCUCUGACAGCCUCCUUUCCAGUCUGUAGCCUGAGGCUGUGAGAUCCUGGUGCUUAUGAAGGGUCAGGUGGGAUCCUUGCAGAGUUAUCAAAAGGGUACCUGGUUCUCUGCUAUUUCAGCAGGGGUGGAAGGGGCUGCUCCCCACUGACACAGCCUGGCUCAACUGCACCAUCAAUCUAAGUGGUUGCUUGGGGAUGUCGUAUUUUGUAGGCUAGUGGGGGGGGGAUGCGUGAAGGGGAGGUGGCCAGUAAAAAGCAGCAAGCAAGAUGAGAGCUGAUCACCAGCAUCUUCUGCAGCACAGGAAGGACAGAAAACGGCCUUCUGCUGAGUCAUUUGGUCCCUCUAUCUCAGUAUUGUCUACACUGAUGGUCAAUGGCACUCCAAAGUUUAAGGCCUUUUCCCCAGCCCUAUUUGGAAGUGCCAGGUAUUGAGAAUUAGAUCUUCUGCAUGAACAGCAUGUUCUCAACCACUGAGGUAUGCACCUUCAUUCUCAUAGCUCCAAAUAAAGUUCCUUUGAAUGAAGACAGAUUGUUGGUCCACCUAGGUCAGUACUGUCGACACUGACUGGCAGUGGUCUCUCUCAGUCCUAUCUGGAGACUGAAGGAGUGACAAUCAACAUGCAAAGCAUCUCAGUAACCCUAAGACAUGGCCUUUCUUCUAAAAAGAAAAUAAGGCUCUAGUCCUAAUAGUUUUGAAUGGUUGGCAUCUGUCUGUCUUGGGAGACAAUGGAGGAGUGUGCCUUUGGAAGGUUUCAGUGCCUGAUGUGGCUGUAGAGACCAAUACAGGAGAGUACAGUAAUGUUUUCUUGCAUCUGGGGCAGAUGGAGGUGUCCAGUUGUGCUGCUGCACAUGCACUAUGGCGUGUCUUCUCUUUGCACUCUUCUCAGUUGUCAUUCAUUCUCUGAUCACUGCUGUGGAUGCACUGCGAUCGUCUGCAAGGGAUAUCCACAUGGUAGGGUUGAUGUUGUUGACUAAAUGGAUCAGUUAAACAGGACCACAGGAAGCUGCAAUAUACUGAGUAAUACUAUUGGUCCAUCCAGUUCAGUACUGUCUGCACUGACCGGCAUUACUACUACUACAGUAAGUCAGGGUGUAAUUUUCUUUUACCAUCUUCUUUCAGGCUUGGGGCACAUUGAACCAUCUGUGACCAGAUUGUGCCUCACUCAUAUUUUGAUUUUUAAUUGUAUUGUUUGGAUAUUUGGAGGUUUGCUGCCAUCAGUUCCUUUGGAAAGAAGGCAGGGUAGAAAUUUCAUGAAUGAAUGAAUAAAACACCUUCUGUGUCAAACCAGGAGUUUCAACUCUUUCUGCUGCUUCUACAGCAGACGCUCUGUGAACAGGAGGCACUGCUGGUCUCCUCCUACUGCUAGGGAGGAAAUGGCAGAGACUGCCCUCUGGGGUUUCCUGGGCUCUGCACCUACUGGGAAUGAUUCAGAGCAGGCCUGUUUCCCACCCAUGACAGCCUUUGAUCCCCACUUUAAUCAUUGGGUAAAGUUGAUUUGAUUCCCUCCCCCAUUCCUCAUGGAGAUCUUCACUCUUAGGAUGCACAUGGCACAUUGUGGUUUGUCUCAGGUGCCAAAAUGUAUUGGGCAUGUCCUGGUGUUAACAUUAAAAUUCAUGGAAAUCCAAUGAAGUUGAAUUUUAGAAUGUUCAGGACAGACAAUAGAAUGACCUUCUUCAUGCAGUGCAGUUAAGCAAUGGAACUUGCUCCCUCAGGAGGCUGUGAAGGCCACAAACCUGGACGGCGUUAGACAAAUUCAUGGAGGAGAGGAAUAUCGACGGCUCUAUUUGUUUGUUUAUUUCAUAAAAUUUAUAUGCUCCUAGAUUGUAAAAACGAAACAAAACCUCAAAACAAUUAACAAAGAGAAUAAAACAAUAACAUUCUAAACAUCUGGAUAGGCUUAUUAUACAAAAAUAUUUUUAGCAGGUGCCGAAAAGAGUACAGUGAAGGUGCUUGCUUGAUGUCAAUAGGUAGGGAGUUUCAGGGUGUAGGUGCUGUCACACUAAAAUAUAUAUUUCUUAAAAAUGUGGGUGUUAUGUGGCACCUGUAUAACAGGGUCAGUUCCACAGAUCAGUGUGGUUUAGUCGGUGUAUAAGGGGUAAGGCAGUCUUGCGAGUAAGCUGGCUUCAAGCUGUUAAGGGCUAUGCUCUGCCUCUGCAGUUGGAGGCAGCAAUGCUUCUGAAUGCUAAUUGCUGAAAACCAUAAGAGGAGAGACGGCUUAUGUACUUGAAUCCUGCUUGCUGAUUUCUGAUUGGAGCAUCUGUUUGGCCACAACUGGAUGCUGGGCUAGAAGGACCUCACCCAGCAGUCUCUUAUGUUCUUAUGCACAAUGUUUCUCUUUCAAAUGCUCAGAAAGUGCGGGCUGUGCUUGUGUCGUGAGCUCUGCUUGCGAAGCCUGGGUCCGGGGGUCCUUGGAAAUUGAGAUUUAUUUUUAGCUGUUGUCUGCACAGCCUGAGCUAUAAAAAGUCAGAGUGUGACAGCUGACACCCUGGCCAACUUGCCAGGGUCAGACUGGGGCCUGUAGAUAUUACUCUGGAGAGCUGGUGCCAGGCGCCAACAUUAGCAGCACAUUUCCGCUCUAUCUCAGGACAUUGUGUGUCCAAAGGAAGAUUAAAUCUGCCUCUCUGUCAGCAGGUGGAAUCAAAGCCAGUUCCAGGUAUUUUUGAGAGCUGAUGGCAUUGAUAGUGCUACUGGACCCCCAUUGGGGUGAGUGCACCCAGCUCCUCCUGAUGGGUGCAGCUCAGUGGCAGAGCCUCUGGUUUGCAUGCAGAAGGCGCCAGCUUCAAUCUCCAAUGGUAUCUCCAGGUAGGGCUGGGAAUUCCCCUACCUGAAAUCCUGGAGAGUUGCUGCUGCAAGUCAGUGUAGAUAGUACUGAACCAGAUGGACCAAUGUGAAGAACAUAAAAGAGCCCUGCUGGAUCGGGGGAAAGGAGGCCCAUCUAGUCCAGCAUUCUGUUCUCAUGGUGACGCGCCAGGUGUGCAUCAUAGGAAACCCACAAGCAGGUACGAGUGAAAGAGCACUCUCCCCUCCUGAGGUUUCAGAAGCAUGACUAUCUGCAGCUGUGUACCAUAAGGUCUAGAAUCUUACUUUAUUUUUAUUUUGGAGGACAUAGCUCCAUGGUAAGCAUCUGUUUUGCAUGCAGAAGGUCCCAGAUUCAAUAUCCAAUGGCAUCUCCAAGCAGGGCUGAGGGAAGACUCCCUGCUUAUAACCCUGGAGAGCGCCUGCCAAUCAGUGCAGACAAUACUGAGCUAGAUGGACCAAUGGUCUGACUUGGUAUUAGGCAGCCUUCUAUAUUCAUCUGAUUCCUAAUAUACUGGUUUGGGGAUAGUGAUGGUGCUUGGGCUAGAUGUUCCCAGCAGACCUUCAGUAUGGAGGGCACCCAAAUUCUCCUCUUCUUUGCCUUUGCCAGAUCCCUUUCUCCCCACCCCCACCCCACCCCUUGGGUCAAUCUUGACAGGUGGAUGGGACUGCUCACUUGUCAAUCACCUAACAUAAGAACAUAAAAAGAGUCCGGCUGCUGGAUCAGGCCAAUGACCAUCUAGUCCAGCAUCCUGUUCCUCUUACAAUGGCUGACCGGAUGCCUAUUAUGGGAAGCCCACAAACAGGACCUGAGCACAACAGCAGUGAUCAGCCCUCCUGUAGUUUCCAGCAACCUGUAUUCAGAAGCAUUACUGCCUCUGACUAUGAAGGCAGAGCAUAGCCAUCAUGGCUAGUAGCCAUUGGCAACCCUUUUCUUCUCUACGAAUAUGUCCAAUUCUCUUUUAAAGCCAUCCAAAUUAGUGACUAUCACUGCCUCCUUUGGGAGUGAGUUCCAUAGUUUAAUUAUGUACUGUGUGAAGAAGUACUUUCUAUUAUCUGUCCUGACUUUUCCAACAUUCAGCGUCUUUGGACAUCCAUGAGUUCCAGUGUUAUGAUAAGAGAGGGAGAAAACCCCUUUUUCUAUCCACUUUCACCAUGCCCUGCAUCUAUCUAUCAUCUAUCUAUCUAUCUAUCUAUCUAUCUAUCUAUCUAUCUUAUUUCACGCACACCAUACAUUUAAAGCACUACAAUACCACUUUAAACAUUCAUGGCUUUCUUGCCUGUGUGGGAGGAAGGACAGGAGGAAAAAUUAAUAAUCAGCAACACCAAUAAAAAACCCUAAAAUUAUCACCAUUUAGCCAACUAAAUGGCUAUACAAGUUUGAAACUGACCAGUUGAAGACAGCCCAACCCAGUGGCAGCGUCUUCUCUCAACCCAGUCAUCCUUGCCUUCUUUCUUUUUCUUCACCCCCACCUGACUUUUCCUCCUUCUCCCCUCCCCUUCUCCCCUUCCCCCUCCUCUCUCUUCUGUGGGGCAUUGAUUUUUCCAUCCGUCAGCGAAACACCGAAGGAAAAUAAAAGAGCCUCUUUGCCAUCGAUCCAUGGAACUCUGCAGCCUCAGGUCAGGAAGGGUUUGGAUCUCACACUCCCCUGGCAUAUAAUUACCCCCAGACUCCCAUGAACAAGGCUCUUUAGGAAACCCUGCAGGGACCCGCAUUUCCAGCAAGUUCCAGGGGUCCCGUGUGUGCCCCCGGGAGGCCUAAUCUACAGUGGGAGCUUAUUUCUUUCAGUGUGUUGCAGAGCCUCUCAUGAAAGCGUGUUGACAGGUGGGAGUGUUUCUGAAUGCACACUGCAGAUGCUAGUGGUGGGUGCAUCAUGCACAGUGUCUCUGGCUGUUCCGCUGCAAAUAUGUCACUGUUCUUGGUAAGGCUCUGUUAGUCCUGAGUUUCUGCCGCAGUACGCUUGAAAUCACACUGUAGCUGUAAUCUUACCCACAUCUAGUCCUAAGUAAACAUUAGAAUGUAAGAAAAGCAUGGCUCUUGGAUGAGGCCAAAGAGUUCAUCAAGUCCAGUAUCCUGCUCUCAUAGUGUCCAACAAGAUGUUCAUUAUGUGAAGCCCACAAGCAGGACCUGAGUGCAACUCUCCACUCUUGGGUUUCCCAACAACUGGUAUUCAGAGGUAGACUGCUCCUGAGCAUGGAGAUUCUACUGUUGCCAUAGACCUCCAGACAAACAGGCCUUGCUUCUGGAUCAGGCCAAAGGGGGCCCAUGUAGUUCAGCACUCUGGUCCCACAGGGGCCAAGCAGAUGCCUGAUAUAGGAAGACCUGAGUGCAGCAGCAAGUCUCUCUACCUGUGAUUCCCAGCUACUGGUAUUCAGAGACAUCCUGCCUCCAACAGUGGAGGGAGUCUGGCUGGCCACCAUGAGAACUGGAUACUGGACUAGAUGGGUCCCCUUUGGCCUAAUCCAGCAGGGCUCAAUUUAUGUUCUACCUCCACUGUUGGAGGCAGUAUCCUUCUGAAUACCAGUUGCUGGGAAUUGCAAGUGGGGAGGGUGCACUCUGAUCCUGCUUUGGGGCAUCCCUUUUGGGCAACUGGUUGGACAUUGUGAAGACUGGAGACUGUACUUGGUGAGCCUUUGGUGGCUUGAUCUAUCAGCCAGGUAAUUUUUACAUUUCCUGGGCUCCUGAGUGACCAGGUAAAAUGUUCUUAUGUCUGCUUUCCCCGGCCCAGUCAAGGUUUUUUGCAGCCUGUGUUUGCAUGUGUGAGUCAGCCCAGAAGCAUCCCGCAGCCAACCCCUGCCCUGGUCACACUUUUUCAUGACUCGCAUAGAGAGCAAAGUUUGCAGCUGCAGCAGCCUCCAUAUCUCGGAAAAUCUGACUCACUCUCACAACAAGGGAAGGAGGCAGCCAGAGGCGAAAGCAGGGUGUGUGGAGGGAAGCCACGAACAGAUGUCCUGACAUGUCAAGAAAGGGAGGAUGAAAUGAUGGUCUGGGGCAAGGGGAGGGCUCUUUUCCAAGUCUCCUUCCUGCCCCUGAAAGAUCUUGUUUAGUUUAGAAAAGUUGAGGAAAAGUGGUGGAAUAAAAUGAUGGUACAGUGGUACCUUGGAUUAAGAACUUAAUUCGUUCUGGAGGUCCGUUCUUAACCUGAAACUGUUCUUAACCUGAGGUACCACUUUAGCUAAUGGGGCCUCCCACUGUUGCCACGCCACCGCUGCCUGAUUUCUGUUCUCAUCCUGAAGCAAAGUUCUUAACCCGAGGUACUACUUCCAGGUUAGCGGAGUCUGUAACCUGAAGCGUCUGUAACCUGAAGCGUCUGUAACCUGAAGCGUCUGUAACCUGAGGUACCACUGUAUGGAGAAAAGUUUUCUCCUUCUCUCCUAGCACUCGAACUUGAAAACAUCCAAAGAAGCAGGAGGCAGGAGAAUUUCAAUAGCUGUAUUUGAAAUGAUCAGAUGGGGAUGGAUCAACUACCCUAUGAGGAAAGACUGCAGUGUUCAGGCCCAUGAGCAAGGAUUGAGGUCUCUGACUGAGGAAAAUGUUUUCAUCUCAAGGGACACAUUCCCCCAUAGGGAACUUUGCAAGGACCACAUGCCAGGGCUAGGCAGGGCCAGAUGCAACAAUAGGCAGAGUAACGGAUGCUGAAUGCAUGGCAUGGCAUGGGUUGGCUGAGGGCUGUAUUCCCUUUUCUGCAACCUUCUAGGAGCCACAUGCAAGUGGUGGGCAGGGCAGAGGAAAAAGUGGGUGGGUGGGGGAAUGGGUGUAACUCCAGCUAUGCAAAAGUCAGGUGUUUCUACUCUAGGGCUGGAGAACCUAUUUCAGCCUGAGUGCUGCAAUCCCAUCUACACAGCCUUUGGGGGCCACACAUGCCAGUAGUCGAUGGAGCCAGGGGCAAAAGUGUAAGGAGCAAUUAAUGUAAAUUUUGCUUUUGUACUAGUUUCUAUACAUGCCCCUCUGUCGCCUCCAUCCAGGAAAACAAGAGACAUGAUCAAAGCUCAUGGGCAUGUUCCAGCUUGGCCAUAAACACUCAAGGAGGGUGUGGAGCAGAAGUGGUGAGGGGUGUGGCCUGGGGACAGGGUGUGUGGCCUGGUAGAGUUCCAAGGGCCACAUAGGGAGGGCUGGAGGGCCACAUCUGGUCCCUGGGUCUCAGAUUUCUCAGUGCUGCUGUAGGGCUGUUCCAAUAUAUACUCCCCUAUACUGUGGGAGUAGCAACAGACAGUUGCAUUCAGCUGAGUCCUGCUCUGAGUUAAUGGAGAGGUCUAAGAUUGGUUCAUUAAUUUCAAUAGGUCUGCUCUUAGUAGUAUCCACUCAGAAAUUCUCCUCUCGAAUGCACUUGAGUGGCUCCAUUUGUCUGUGCCGUUACCAGGUCUGCAUCACGUGGGUGCAUUAUUGUUAUUAUUUUUGCAAAGGUAGGUUGGAGGAAGAACAGCACCUCUGAGCAUGUGCAGAGUUUGUUUUGACCCCAUCUGCGAGCAGCCAAUUCCCAGGCAUGAAGAGUUAGAAAUUCUCAGCACUCUGCACUUUCUGGAUGAAGUGUCUGGAUUUGCAUUUGUUUUGGUUUACCUUAAUUGUAGAUGGGAACCUUAUAACGCUUCUCCCCUAUAAACACACAGGCGUGCAUUCUCCUGCAAAUGAAUCUAAAAAAGCGCUCCUUCCGAAGCUCUCUCCCCCCCCAAAUCCAAUGCUCCCUCCUCCUUGAAAUUCGGCACACUAAUAAAAUUGUAAUUCAUUUGCAUCCGAGAUGGGGGGAAAUGAGUGCCAGGGGUUGCCAUGGCAACCGCCUCCUGAACACACUGCCUAGCUGCUGAGUGCCUAGCUGGAGAUCAAGAGAUUCAGAGAGAGUUCUUUGGGCUCAAAGCGUUCUCAGGGCCUAUGCUGGCUCAGCCCUGCCUCCGUUCCUCCCAGAGCUGCCCUCUGGCAUCCUUGUACAUUGUUUGUGAGGCAUGUGGCCAAUUCAGAAACCCCAGUUUAGACACGAAGAGUGUGGAGGAGUCGACUCACGUAUACAGAAGGGGGAAAAAAAAAGAUGAGCUCAUUAUCCACCUCCUUAAGUCUCCACAAUUCUUAAUUGCCACUCUCGUGCUUUGGUUUCAAGCUCCUAGUCCUCACUGCCAGCUCACUGUGCUUCUCCCUCUUCUGAAGCUUCUGGCCCCUGGUAUUGUUUCAUGCUUUUCACUUCCCCAACUGGUGAGGUUCUUUGGCUGGGUGGUGGAGGAAGGAGGAAUAAUAAAAGGCAGAAUGGGGAAUCUUUUCCCAUCCAAAUCUAUGAUGCCACAGUCAUGGCUUUCCCCAAAGAAUUCUGGGAGAUGUAGUACGCUGAGAGUUCUUAGGAGACUCCUAUUCCCCUCACAGAUUAACAUUUCUCAGUAUGGUUUAGCAAUAAUAGAAUUGUAAAGUUGGCACAACCAAAGGUCAUCUACUCCAACCAUCUUCAAUGCAGGUAUCACAGCUAAAGAACUAAUGUUUAGUCAGAAUCUCUUUUCUUGUUACUUGCUGCCACUGGCUUGGAUCCUACCAUGCAGAGCAAGAAAAAUCAAAUUUGGCCCAUCUUCCAUAUGACAACCCUUUAGAUAUUUGAAGAUGGCCAUCAUAUCUCAUAUCAGUCUCCUCUUUUCCAGGCUAAACAAACCCAGUUCCCUCAAGCGUUCCUCAUGGUGCUUGGUUACCAGACCCCAAGAACUGGACACAGGACUCCAGGUGUGGUCUAACCAGGGCAGGAUAGAGUGGUACCAGGACAUCACUUGAUCCGGACACUAGACUUUAGUUGACAGGACACAGGAUUCCUCAUAUCUGUGCAGACCCCAUCAAAUUUACAUUCAUUGCUCCACCCAUUUUUUUCAUCUGGCCCGCCCACCAGCAGCAUGUGCUUUGACCAGAACAACAUGGCUGGAUCCAACACCUGGAUGUCAAGAGUCAGCUGCUUGUGGGACCCCCUUUUCAUGUUACCUCAAGAGACCCCUGUCGUUUCACCCUGAUUGGACACAUGGUUCCUGUUCUGUAUUUGUAAGAAAUUGGUCAUUUAGUGUGGCAGCACCUACACUUUGG